rnacentral:rRNA from 1 species
CGUGUCGUGAGAUGUUCGGUUAAGUCCGCUAACGAGCGCAACCUCGUCGUAUGUUAUAUGUGUCAUACGAGACUGCCGGUAAAAAGCCGGAGGAAGGUGAGGAUGAUGUCAAGUCAGCAUGACCUUUAUAUCCAGGGCUACACACACGCUACAAUGGUCUGUACAAUGGGUAGCCAAGCCGCGAGGCGGAGCCAAUCCUGAAAGCAGGCCUCAGUUCAGAUUGCAGUCUGCAACUCGACUGCAUGAAGCCGGAGUUGCUAGUAACCGCAGGUCAGCUAUACUGCGGUGAAUACGUUCCCGGGCUU